GACGUCACAGGGUACUAUAAAUACUGCGCGUUAGCAUAUCGUUGUCAUCUCAUAUCAGGUCGUCUGGUAGAAAAGUACUCUACGGAGUAGAUAAUUGUAGACGAUUAAAUAACCGAAAAUGGAUAGGAUACUGGUGAAAUUCACUUGUUGUUAUUGUUAAACAGUUAUAAUAAUUACUUUGCCAGUGUAGAGAACGGUUGUUCCAGAAAUGGUUCAUACCAAAUCUGGUAUAAUACCCAAUCUGGUAUAGUACCCAAUCUGGUAACUACCAGAUCUGGUAUCUCAUUAUAUUGUACCAAACCUGGUACUUGUUUACUGAAUCUGGUCAUCUAUAGGUAUGAUAAUAAUAGACUUUAGGCAUCCAUGACUAUGUAUAUUUAAAUUAAUUGAUCUAUAUAAUAUUUUAAUUAAAAGAGUUUUAAGUUACAAAA